AUGAACGCUGGCGGCGUGCCUAAUACAUGCAAGUCGCGCGAACAGACGAGGAGCUUGCUCCUCUGACGUUAGCGGCGGACGGGUGAGUAACACGUGGAUAACCUACCUAUAAGACUGGGAUAACUUCGGGAAACCGGAGCUAAUACCGGGUAAUAUAUUGAACCGCAUGGUUCAAUAGUGAAAGACGGUUUUGCUGUCACUUAUAGAUGGAUCCGCGCCGCAUUAGCUAGUUGGUAAGGUAACGGCUUACCAAGGCAACGAUGCGUAGCCGACCUGAGAGGGUGAUCGGCCACACUGGAACUGAGACACGGUCCAGACUCCUACGGGAGGCAGCAGUAGGGAAUCUUCCGCAAUGGGCGAAAGCCUGACGGAGCAACGCCGCGUGAGUGAUGAAGGUCUUCGGAUCGUAAAACUCUGUUAUUAGGGAAGAACAAAUGUGUAAGUAACUAUGCACGUCUUGACGGUACCUAAUCAGAAAGCCACGGCUAACUACGUG
rnacentral:rRNA from 1 species